GUGAUUACUCGCCUACCACCCAUGGCCUACGCGGCACUGCGAACCGCGUUCAAGGAGAAGAUGUCGAAUUAUAAGACUACGUUGGGACGAUCGAUUCUUGACACGUGCUACGAUUUCACCGGCCAAGAGACUAUGAACAUACCUAAAGUCUCCUUCUCCUUCAAAGGCGGCACCGUCGUGGAACUUGACUCAAUAGGGGUUUUGUACGUGUUUAAUAAGUCCACGGUUUGUUUGGCGUUUGCGGGGAAUAAUAACGAUGAUGACGUGACCAUUUUCGGGAACGUUCAGCAAAAGACAAUGCAAGUUGUGUACGACGGUCCCGGCGGUCGGGUCGGGUUUGCUCCCAAUGGUUGUAUGUAGUUGAUGUGAAACAAUAUAAAAUUGGUAUGUUUGUAUUUUUAAGUAAGUAUUAUCUUUCAUCAAGUGUUUGUAAGCUUGAGUGGCCGUCUGUGAAAGUGUCAAGGACCACUCAAGUAUGUGUACGAUCAAUAUUGAUCGUAUUAAGUAUCCUAAAGUGUGAACUAAGAAAGAAACAGAUUGUUUUGUCAAGCAAACUUGUCAGGUACAUGCUCUCAAUAAACGUAUAUAACAUUUCGAAAUUGUAAUAGAUCUAUCUUCGAAUGUAAUAAAUCUUAAGAGUUAAUUAACAUGUAUUAUGUUUACCACCUGCAUCUGGACUUUACGUGUAUAUAUGUAUAUUGUUUUUUUCUUCUCUUUGUUGGUAAAAUGUAUCCUAUAUUCACACAAAACAACUAACUUGGUUAAGCGCUUGGUUUCUUGAUGCAAAUGACAGAAAAUGAUGGACCCACCCUCAUCAGUCCAAGACUAAAUCCUUUUCUUGCGUGUUCUUUUGAGACUCAAGGUUUAUACUUGUAUAAUACAUGAUGUAUUAGUACAUACAUGAGUAUUAAAAAGAAAAUUACAGUAGGCGAUUCUAAUAUACCACAAAUCUCACAGUAUCGGACUUCAAUGUUUCAUACUCAAAACCAUUCUUAUGUGCACCCCUCUGAACUAGAACUUGCAUGGCUACCUUAGUUCUGAAUUCUUGACCCUUAACCAAAUCGAGACCAUCAUCCCAUUCUUCUUCUACUGCAGUCGUGGCUUCAACUCCUCCUCUUGCAGCUGCAACUCCGGCUCUUGCAGCUUCAACUUCCGCUCUUGCAGCUUCAACUUCCUCUCCUCCAGCUUCUUCUUCCACUCUUACUUCUGUUCCUUCAUACCCAUGCUCUAAAUUCUCAUGCAUCUCAAUGUCUUCAUGUUGUUCGGGUGUGUAAAGCGCGACCACACCAUCCAUCUCAUGAUCCUGAUCAGUUCCAUCUUGCUCAGUGUCAUCUUCCUCGGUCCCAUCAGAAAGACCAACAUAACUAUCAUCAGUUUCAUCAUCAUCUUCAUCAGAAAGACCAACAUAGCUAUCAUCAGUCUCAUCAUCAUCUCCUAAAAGUGACAUACCACCAUAUGUAUCAUCCAUGUCGCUGCUGAUCUCCACAUGUAAAACACUUCUACAUUUAUCAUGAUUUACUUGCAUGAGAUAACCCAAAACGUCUUCAUCACACCAAAUAUAUGAUGGCUUGUUCGAAUACAAUACCAUUGGAAAGUAACUAAUCUUCACCAUCCCAUCUCCAUUUGCCUUAAUCUUUCUGCAUAUACUUUCAACCAAUUCAGAAUACGUAAUCUCUUCCACAGCUGUCUUCAUCACUAGAGUGUGAAUUUCAUCUUCUCCCGAGAUCCAUCUUCUCUCACCCCCAUCUUUGAUGUAACUUCCUCCGUAAUCAAAACAUAUGAUUGUAAUAGGUGAGGCCAUAGAUUUCCUGAAACAAAAAUUAUGAUGAGUUAACCGUUUAAAGAAUUUAAGUUGUCCAAGAUCUUUGGUACAUACUCUAUUUAGUAAUACAAGUAAUACAAGUAAUACAUAUUGUAGCUUAGUAGUACUAGUAAUUCCAGUAUUUUCUAUAAAUUUUCAUUUUUGUUGAUUUAAACCUUUUAACAAACCCAGGGGGUAUUAUACAACCCACAAUAUCAUCUACCAAUAUUUUAAUGUAUUAUUUUGGUUUAAAACAGUGAAAAAUAAGUAGAAAUAUACAAAAUAGUCCUGAAAAAAACAUCAUUUUCAUACCAAUAUACCUAAAACUUUAAUCUUUCAUCAGUUUAAGUAUGUUUAAUCAACAAAUAACAUGUUACAAAACCCACAUUAUCGUCUAACAACAUUUUUAUGUUUUUUCCUAUCAAACUCGUGUUAAAAGAAUCGUGUUAAAAGAAGAGAACCUUCUCCAAGUUUUAUUUUCAAAACCUUUGAAAACUUUUAAGAUUUUUACAGCUAAGUUUUUAUUUUUUUCGUUACCCAUAACACAUAGAACAUAAGUAGUAUAUUAGUAUGAAAAUUUCGUGAAAAAAUCGUACCAAUUUUCGUCAAAAUAACCUCCAAAAUACGCCAAUGGAGCUUGAAAGAGAAGAAGAAAUCGCAGGUGGUUGGAAAAAAGGGAGCAGGAUCUGAAAAAAGGGAACAGAUGGACACCUGUGCGAAGGAGAGAGGUAGAUGGAGUGUGGGGUCGCCUGUUAGGUGUCCAUUAAUUAUGGACUUUAUGUGGGAGGAUGAGGGGUCCGCUUUCUAUUUUUAAAAUUAGAAAGUAAGUUGUGGGGUCCGUGUUUUAUUUUUAAAAUUAGAAAGUAAGGUGUGGGGUCAGCAAGAAAUAGAUAAUAAUAUAAUAGCUGAGGGUAAUAAAGAGAAGGGAAAUAUGGUAGGGUAGUUAGAAAAGAAGUGGGGUAUUGAGAAUACAAAAUUUCCAACUGGGUCAAUAUAGAUUACUUUCCUCAUUUAACGCUACGGAAAAAUUAAAAUCAGAUUUUGUUAGUUCUUGUAGCAGUUCGUGAAUUCGUGCUACCGCGAACUGCUACCAAUACUCAUAUUUCCAGUAGUGGUAACACUUGUGCAUUACAUGACGUAUUAAUAGAUACAUGAAUAGUAAAAACAAAAAUUACAGGGAGAGAUUAUAAUAUAUAUUUCAUUUAAAACUUGUUUUGAAGAUUGUAGGCAUUCUAUUUCCCACGUCUCGUGCAGGCUAUUGCACUGAUGUUAGGUUCAAAGCUUAUUCAAGAGGCCAUGGGGGUAAAGCAAGCAAGUUCUAAACAGUUUUGUGUCUAUUAUGUUUCUGCUUCUUUUUUUGCUGGUUUAACAAAAGUGUUGAGGUAUUAGCUUUAAAAAUUCGGUAGACUUUUCGAACACUAUCUUAAAUUAGUGGCCAAAACUGAUUUCGUAGAUAUAUAUCUCUAUACCCUACUUAUGUGAUAUGUGGCUAGCCUUUAGUCUAACAACAUCCAGUUCAGAUUUUAAUGAGCAAAGGGAUAUGGUUAUAAAAUGACCAACCAAAUUAUGUAAUUAGUAAGUAUUGCUGUGGGGGAAAGUGGAAAAUGAAGAAUUUCUUGAAUAUCUUAACCGUAAUCCUUUGUGUAUGGCUCAAUAGUCGAAGACUAAAUCUUUUUCUUGCGUGUUCUUCUGAGACUCGUCACUCAAGUUAUACUUGUGUUAGACAUGAUGUAUUAGUACAUACAUGAAUAUUAAAAGUAAAAUUACAAGGAGCGAUUCUACUAUAUUUCCUUUAUGUUUCGAAGAUGGAUUCAGUUAGAAUUGUAGGCACCGCAUUUCCCACGACUUUGGCCUUAGCCGCUGAUCCUAUUGUCUCUUUCAUUGACAGUGCGUUUGACAUAUCUUAUAUCUAUUAGAUUCUGAUGACAGGAAGAGAAGCCAGAAGAAAGUAAAAGUGCAUGGUGUUAAGUGUCAACAUCAACGUCACUGAUCCUAGGGUUAUUGCUGGGUCUCGUACGUGCAGGCUAUUGCAUUGAUAUAGCUUCUUCUAGGGGCCAUGGGGGUAAGAGGAUGCAAGUCCUAAAAAAUUUCUCUAUUGGGUUUAUUUUUGCUGGCUCAACAAGAGAGUUGCACUAUUAGACUUUUCUUUUGAAUAAUUUGAACUUUUAGAAUUUUCUAACACUUAUCUUAUAUUAAUGGUCAUAACUGAUUUCAUGGAUCUCUCAGUACCCUACAUAUUAAUGGUAUGUGAUAUGCGGCUAGCCUUGAGUAUAACAACAUCAUCAACUACAGAGUUUCUUGAGCAAGGAAAUUUGGUUAUAAAAUGACUAACCAGUUUCAUUUAAUUAGUAGAGUGUAAAAUGAAGAAUAUGUUGAAUAUCAUAACUAUAAUCAUUUGUUUAUGGCUCAGUUGGGGUCGUGCUGAUGGAGCUCAAAAGAGAGAAAGUGGAGAGCUUUCUUUUCACAGAAUUCAAGCAAGCUCUCUUUUUCCUUCAUUACCAGCACCAUGUGUUCUUCCUCCAAGAGGUGAGAUUAUUAUAAUAGCUAAUAAUACAGUUCAGUCUCUAAUUAAUGAUUCAUGAUCUUGCUAUAUAAUGAUGACUGGUGCCGAUAGAGGUUAAUAUUUUUUAGCCCUAAUUAAUUGAUUUCAGUAUCUAAUACGAAGUCGUCGCUUCACGUGGUGAACAGACACGGCCCAUGCUCGAGUCUAAGCAGCAAGAAAGCCACGAUCAGUCCCGACCAUGACGAGAUCCUCAGACUCGACCAGGCGCGCGUAAAAUCCAUUCACUCAAAGCUUUCAAAGAAGCUAACAGCCAGAGAUAGACUCAGUCAAAGCCAGUCAACAGUUCUACCGGCUACAGAUGGAAUCACACUCGGUUCAGGAAACUACAUCGUGACGGUCGGAAUCGGGACGCCGAAACACGAUCUCUCUCUGGUCUUCGACACAGGCAGCGAUCUGACGUGGACUCAAUGCGAGCCAUGUGGUAGAAAUGGAACAUGUUAUCCCCAAAAGGAGCCCAUCUUUAACCCAUCUUCCUCUUCUUCCUUCUCCAACGUCUCGUGCUCAUCGCCGUUCUGCGACUCUCUCGCUUCCCAAGGUCGCGUUAAAAAUUGUUUGGCUCCCAACUGCGACUACGGUGUCGGAUACGGCGAUAGAUCGUUCACCAUAGGAUUUCUCGCCACCGAGAAAUUUACUUUAGCGAACUCUGAUGUCUUCGACAAUGUUAUCUUUGGCUGCGGUGUGAACAACAAAGGAUUCAUUGGUAUCGCCGGACUUCUCGGUCUUGGCCGCGGCAAAGUCUCGUUUCCAUCGCAGACGGCGAUGACGUACAACAAUAUAUUCUCCUACUGCCUCCCUUCUUCCCCAGAGUACACUGGCCAUCUCACCUUCGGAUCAGCUGGAUUAUCUAACUCCGUCAAAUACACUCCCAUCUCCGCAGUCCCAUAUAGCGCAUCCUUUUAUGGCCUUGAUAUCGUAGGUAUCUCCGUCGACGACAAGCAACUGGAGAUCCCCUCCACUACCGGUGCUGUAAUCGACUCUGGUACCGUGAUUACUCGCCUACCACCCAUGGCCUACGCGGCACUGCGAACCGCGUUCAAGGAGAAGAUGUCGAAUUAUAAGACUACGUUGGGACGAUCGAUUCUUGACACGUGCUACGAUUUCACCGGCCAAGAGACUAUGAACAUACCUAAAGUCUCCUUCUCCUUCAAAGGCGGCACCGUCGUGGAACUUGACUCAAUAGGGGUUUUGUACGUGUUUAAUAAGUCCACGGUUUGUUUGGCGUUUGCGGGGAAUAAUAACGAUGAUGACGUGACCAUUUUCGGGAACGUUCAGCAAAAGACAAUGCAAGUUGUGUACGACGGUCCCGGCGGUCGGGUCGGGUUUGCUCCCAAUGGUUGUAUGUAGUUGAUGUGAAACAAUAUAAAAUUGGUAUGUUUGUAUUUUUAAGUAAGUAUUAUCUUUCAUCAAGUGUUUGUAAGCUUGAGUGGCCGUCUGUGAAAGUGUCAAGGACCACUCAAGUAUGUGUACGAUCAAUAUUGAUCGUAUUAAGUAUCCUAAAGUGUGAACUAAGAAAGAAACAGAUUGUUUUGUCAAGCAAACUUGUCAGGUACAUGCUCUCAAUAAACGUAUAUAACAUUUCGAAAUUGUAAUAGAUCUAUCUUCGAAUGUAAUAAAUCUUAAGAGUUAAUUAACAUGUAUUAUGUUUACCACCUGCAUCUGGACUUUACGUGUAUAUAUGUAUAUUGUUUUUUUCUUCUCUUUGUUGGUAAAAUGUAUCCUAUAUUCACACAAAACAACUAACUUGGUUAAGCGCUUGGUUUCUUGAUGCAAAUGACAGAAAAUGAUGGACCCACCCUCAUCAGUCCAAGACUAAAUCCUUUUCUUGCGUGUUCUUUUGAGACUCAAGGUUUAUACUUGUAUAAUACAUGAUGUAUUAGUACAUACAUGAGUAUUAAAAAGAAAAUUACAGUAGGCGAUUCUAAUAUAUAUUUCAUUUAAGACUUGUCUUGAAGAUGGAUUCGAUUGGACGGGAGAUUGUAUGCAUUUCAUUUCCCACGACUCUGACCGUAGCCGCUGAUCCUAUUGUCUCUUUCUUUGACACUGUAUUGGACAUAUUAGAUUCUGAGCUUCUUCUAGAGGUCAUGGGGGUAAAGCAAGCAAUUAAGUCCUAAACAGUUUUGUGUCUAUUACGUUUCUUUUUUUUUUUUGCUGGUUCAACAAGAGUGUUGAGGUAUUAGCUUUAUAAAUACGGUAGACUUCUCUAACACUAUCUUAAAUUAGUGGUCAUAACUGAUUUCAUAAAUAUCUCUUUAUACCUUACUUAUAUGUCAGUAUGUGAUAUGUGGCUAGCCUUUAGUCUAACAACAUCCACUUCAGAGUUUAAUGAGCAAAGGGAUAUGGUGUUAUAAAAUGACCAACCAAAUUAUGUAAUUAGGGAGAGUGGAAAAUGAAGAAUUUGUUGAACAUCAUAACCUUAGUUCUUUGUGCAUGGCUCAGUUUUUGUUGUACUGAUGGAGCUCAAAAAAGAAAGAGUGGAGAGGUUUCUUUCCACAGAAUUCUUGCCAGCUCUCUCUUUCCUUCAUCAUCAUCAUGUGUUCUUUCUCCAAGAGGUGACAUUAUCUUAGCUAAUACAGUUCCAGUCUCUAAUGAUUCAUUCUACUAUUUAACAUGAUUGGUGCCAAUAAAAAUAGAUAGAGAUUAAUAAUUUUAACUCUGAUUCAUCGAUUCAGCAUCUAACACCAAGUCGUCGUUGCUCCUGACGCACAGACACGGCCCAUGCUCGAGUUUAAGCAGCAAGAAAGCCAAGACAAGUCCCAACCAUGACGACAUCCUCAGACUCGACCAGGCUCGAGUAAAAUCCAUCCACUCAAAGCUUUCAAAGAAGCUAACACCCCAAUAUAGGGUCAGUCAAAGUCAGUCAACGGAGCUAGAGGCUAGAGACGGAAGCACACUGGGUUCAGGAAACUACAUCGUGACGGUCGGAUUCGGAACGCCGAAACACGACCUGUCUCUGGUCUUCGACACAGGCAGCGAUCUGACGUGGACUCAGUGCGAGCCAUGUGGUAAAACUGGAACAUGUUAUCCACAAGAGGAGCCCAUCUUUAACCCUUCUUCGUCUACUUCGUACUCCAACGUCUCGUGCUCAUCCCCUGUUUGCGAUUCUCUCACUUCCCAAGGUUUGAUUUUCAGUUUUUUUUAAAAAAAAAAAAAAAGAAAUAUCCGCAUAAUUUUUGUAUCACAAAAUAGUUUAAAAAAAAACAUUUAUACCAUUGCAACUAAUUAAUCUAAGCCUAGAAUUUAGAUUUUAGAAGAAAAGUUUAGAUUUGGAGAUUUAAUAAUAGAAUUCAGAAUUUAAAGUAAAAAAUUAAAAUAAUAAUGUUCAAAUAUUAUUUUUAUUUAUAUAUUAUUCAUUAAAUCUAAUUUAGUUUUUUUUAUAAAAUUUAUUUAAAUCAUUUUCGUCUUGUGUAAUAUUUUGGUUUUGUGAUGUUCUAAAUCGUUUUUGCUCUUUAUAAAAUUAAAUUUUUUUAAAAAAUUCACCACAUUGAUAAUAGGUCACUAUAGAAACUGCUCGGCUUCCAACUGCAUCUACGGUAUAGGAUACGGCGAUAGCUCGUUCACUGUAGGAUUUCUCGCCAAGGAGAAAUUUACUUUAAACACCGAUGUAUUCGACGGUGUUAACUUUGGCUGCGGCGAGAACAACCAAGGACUUUUCUACGGCGCCGCCGGACUUCUCGGCCUCGGCCGCGGCGAAUUCUCAUUGCCGUCGCAGACGGCAAUGACCUACAAUAACAUAUUCUCCUACUGCCUCCCUUCUUCCGCAGACUACACUGGCCAUCUCACCUUCGGAUCAUCAGGUGGAUUAUCUAAUUCCGUCAAGUACACUCCCAUCUCCACAGCCAGACACAGCGCUUCCUUUUAUGGUCUCGACAUCGUAGGUAUUACCGUCGCCGGCAAGGAACUGGAGAUUCCUUUAACCGUGUUCUCUGCUCCCGGUGCUAUAAUCGACUCAGGAACCGUGAUUACUCGCCUCCCUCCCAAGGCCUACGCGGCACUACGUACCGCGUUUAAGGAGAAUAUGUCGAAUUAUACGACUACGAUGGGACAAUCGAUACUUGACACGUGCUACAAUUUUACUGGCUUGGAGACUGUGGAGAUUCCUAAAGUCUCGUUCUCCUUCAAAGGCGGCACCGAUGUGGAGGUUGACUCCAAAGGGAUUCUGUACGUGUUUGAUGCGUCGGAGGUUUGUUUGGCGUUUGUGGGGAAUGGUAACGAUGAUGACGUGGCCAUUUUCGGGAACGUUCAGCAAAAGACG
rnacentral:lncRNA from 1 species